AUUGAACGCUGGCGGCAUGCCUUACACAUGCAAGUCGAACGGCAGCACGGGAGCAAUCCUGGUGGCGAGUGGCGAACGGGUGAGUAAAGUAUCGGAACGUGCCCAGUCGUGGGGGAUAACGUAGCGAAAGUUACGCUAAUACCGCAUACGAUCUAUGGAUGAAAGCGGGGGAUCGCAAGACCUCGCGCGAUUGGAGCGGCCGAUAUCAGAUUAGGUAGUUGGUGGGGUAAAGGCUCACCAAGCCGACGAUCUGUAGCUGGUCUGAGAGGACGACCAGCCACACUGGGACUGAGACACGGCCCAGACUCCUACGGGAGGCAGCAGUGGGGAAUUUUGGACAAUGGGCGAAAGCCUGAUCCAGCCAUGCCGCGUGCAGGAUGAAGGCCUUCGGGUUGUAAACUGCUUUUGUACGGAACGAAAAGGUUUGGCCUAAUAAGCUGAGCUCAUGACGGUACCGUAAGAAUAAGCACCGGCUAACUCUGUGCCAGCCGCCGCAGUAA
rnacentral:rRNA from 1 species